CCGAGGCCAUUGCUGGAACUACAAUGCCCAAAAUGCUCCAAGACCGACGCGCCCAGAGCGAAGGAGCAAAGGGGACUCGGCCGCCAUGUUAGGAGUACUGGGAAGAUUCCGCGGAGCCAGGCAGAGGUUUUAGGGGUGCGCGGGAGUCGAGUGGUGGUUCAGUAGGGAUGGUGAGGUGGAGGACGAGCCGGUCGGAUAGCUGCGGGGCAUGAACCUGGGAACCAGAGGGUGGAGGUCGUGCUGGGGGUUGAUGUAGAGCGGGACUGACUAGAAGCGGUAUGCAGAGGCCCAGUGAGCCUCGGUCUCAGUUCUUGAAGGUGUUGCAUGGGGCCCUACGCUUCCUUCUCAGUUUUUUAGCUAAGCGAUUGAAAGAGUCGGUUUACUUCUGGGCUUGGAGUAUCAUUUAGGUCGGUUAACAGUACAGUUGAGAGAGUUAGUGUUUUUGUUGAGGUGCGGGGGACCCUAGGUGGCGACCCUCGCCUUUAUUCUGAGAAGCCGACUUCCACCCGCAGAGUUGUGCUCGUCCUCCCAAAUGCAUUUUUGUCUUGCCGUUUGUUUUCCAACCCUCCUUCCCUCUCCCCAAGGUUUCAGAUUCACUGAUUUGUCAUACAGGAAUGAUUAGCAGAGGCGUCCGAAGAAAUCGUUGGAAGGUAGUCAAGCUGGAAAGAGACGUUGCUUUGGCCCCUCGACACAAUGCUGCAAAAUGACUGGUUCAUAAACCACUAAGCUGCCUUGGCAGCCACAUGUUAGUGUUACCAAAACUCACUUUGAGGCCAAGCGUGGUGGCUCAAGCCUGUAAUCCCAGCAUGUUAGGAGGAUAAGGCAGGCAGAUCACCCGCCUGGAGUUCCAGCCUGGCCAACAUGUUGAAACCCCGUCUCCACUAAAAAUACAAAAAUUAGCCUGGCGUGGUGGCCCACACCUGUAAUUCCAGCUGCUUGGAAAGCUGAGGCAUGAGAAUCACUUGAACUCAGCAGGCAGAGGUUGCAGUGAGCCAAGAUUGCACCACUGCAUUCUAGUCUGAGCGACAGAAUGAGACUCCGUCUCAAGAAAAAAACAACUCAUUUGGAACUUUGCUAGGCCAUUGUCCUCAUAUGUGAGAUUUUAUCUGGAUAGAAGAAGAUGAAAAAAUUGUCUUGCCUUUUAGUGGAGGAGAAUGACAUGUAAAACAAGUAUUCUAAAAUACCUAGUCCUAACCUUGCGUAGAAUCUUUAGGACCUAAUAUAGCAUAACCAGAACAGCUAUUUGGAUGCUUGCCUAAUCUCUAAUACUGGUUUCCCUUUUAUAUAUGACUGCAAAACUGGUUGUCGCCUAGGUUUAUGAUGGAAGAAACUCCAGUUGUUUACUAUUAUUAUUAAAGUGGGAAACAGGGAGGUCAUUGAUGAAAUGGAUUGAUGUUUUGAGGAGUUACUAUAUACCAAGGGCUCUUAAAUUUUUACAUAAACUUUCUGGAUGGAGAGUAACAGACUCUCCAGUGUUCACUUGCCACAAGCCAUGCCAUUUAUAGCUAAUAUUUGAAUGCUUAUUGUGACCAACGGCACUGUUCCAAGGGCAUUACAUGCAUAUAAUUCAUAUUUCUCAUUUAGUCUUUAUAACAACUCCUUAAAAUACUGUUAAUAUGGCCAGGUAUAAUGGCUCACACCUGUAAUCCCAACACUUUGGGAGGUUGAGCCAGGCGGAUCACAAGGUCAGGAGUUCAAGACCAGCCUAGCCAACGUGAUGAAACCCUGUCUCUUUAAAAAAAAAAAACUGUCAAUAUUUUUAUUCCCUAAUUUGUCAAUAAGAAAACUGAAAUUUAGAGAUUAUACAGUUUGCCCAACAAUAUUGGAAAGCUGGGACUUUGAACCCUGGCUGAUUUGACUCCAAAGUCUGUACUGCCAAUGCUCCAGAAUUAAUUAGCAUUAAUCUUUUCUGUUGUUUAUGACCUAAGUAUGGCUGUCCAUGGCAGAGAGUCAGUGAGGGAGGCAUUAAUGGCGAAUCACUGGGUCACUUCUGAGAGAUGUGGUACAUUCCCUCACAAACAGGUUUCAUGUGAUAGGUUGGAGGGAUAAAAGAGGUUGAAGAAGGUGGAGGUGGUAUGGUUGGGCCUGAUUAGGAACUGAUUACAUCUGAGCCUCUGGCCCUUUUUCCUGCCAGCUGACUCAGAGUGGGCAGAUGGGCCAAAGUCCAGGCAGGUUGAUUUCAUGGGCUGUAUACUUCAAAGGAUCUGAUUCCUGGUGCUACUAAGCACAUUGCUUUUGAGAAGGCACAGUCUUGUCGGGGAGGGAACAGGAUGCUCUCAAUGAGGUGUUUGUGAAAGCCCUAGGCAAUGUUUGCUCUAAUCCAAAUAUAUAUAGCUUGUUCUGGGUUUGGCAAUAAAACACAGCCAGCCCUAAGCAGGGCUGAAAAUUGUGCAUUUAAACCUUAAGUUUUCUGCAGUACAAUAACAGUUAAUAUAUGCAUACUAAAGUAAGAUAGACCUAGAAUCUAAUUUUGACUUCACCACUCUGCGGUAGGUAAAUUACUAGACCUCAGUUUUCUUGUUUAUGAAAUGAGAUUUUAGUUUUAGAGCACCUACUUCAUAUGCUGGUCGUGAGGAUUAAACAAAAAUGAGUGUCAAGUGUGUACCACAGUACCUGAGAUGUAGUAAACACUCUUGAAACAUUAUUUUUCACUUCUAAAAUUUGUCCUUCAAAUACUUUCCUAUCUAAUAGCCAUUAUUCAUCGAAAACUUCUAUUUUAUAAGAGGAUCUUAGUGCUUAAACAAAAUAAAUUGAUUCAUCAUGAUUUCACUUAACAUUCAAAAGGCAUUUAUUAUUGUGUUGGGUAGACAGAUGGAGAAAAUAGCAGCAACUUUUGUGGAACACCUAAAAUAAGCUAAACAUUUUGUCUCAUUUUAUGUUCACAAAAGUUCUAUGAAGUAUUUUCUUAUGUUAUAGAUGAGAUCAUGGGUCAAGAGAGGAUUAGCAACAUGCCUAAGAUCUUGUAGUCAGCACUAUCUAAUUCUGAAGCCUAUGAAUAAGGUAGCCUUAUCCCCAUGGGAGCAUGGCAUUCAGCAGGCAGGCAGAUGUAUAAACAAGUACAGCUGGCCCUUCUAGAUUCAGAUUCUGCCUCCUUGGACUCAACCAACAAUAGAUUUAAAAUAUUUUUUUAAAAAAAAUUAAAAAUGCAAAUUUUAAAAUAUAACAACUACUUACAUAGCUUUUACAUUGUGUUAGGUAUUAUAAGUAAUCUAGAGAUGAUUUGAAGUAUACAAAAAAUGUCUGGACACAGUAGCUAACACCUGUAAUCCCAGCUUUUGGAAGGCUGAGGUGGGUGGAUCCCUUGAGACCAGGAGUUUGAGAACAGCUUGAGCAACAAGGCAAAACUUUGUCUCUACAAAAAGUACAAAAAUUAGCCAGGUGUGUUGGUGCAUGACUGUGGUCCCAGAUUCUUGGGAGGCUGAGGUGGGAGAAUCACUUGAGCCCGGGAGGUUGAGGCUGCAGUGAGCUGUAAUUGUGCCACUGCACUCCAGCCUGGGCCAGAGUAAGAUCCUAUCUCACAAUAAUAAAGUAUACAAGAGGAUGGGCCUAUGUUAUAAGCAAAUAUUAUGCUUUUUUUUUUUUUUUGGAGACAGUCUCUCACUCUGUUGCCUAGGCUGGAGUACAGUGGUGCUAUCUUAGCUGGCUGUAACCUCAAAAUCUUUCCUGAACUUGAGUGAUCCUCCUGCUUCAGCCUCUCAAGUAGCUGAGGCUAUAGGCUAUAUUACCACGCCCAGCUAAUUUUUUAUUUUUAAGUAUUUUGUAGAGUUGGGGUUCUCAUUAUAUUGUUGCCAAGGCUGUUAUGCCAUUUUAUAUAAGGGACUUGAGCAUCUGCAGAUUUUGGUACCUAAAAGUAGGGGAGGGAAGCCCUGGAACCAGUUCCCCACAGUUAUGGAGAAAGGGCUGUACCUAAAUUCAAAGUGCUGUUGUUGAGGUUUACACUAGGUGCUUGGAAGAGCAGAACAGAAUAGGUGAACUCUGGGGAUGAAGUGAAAGUAGUCCCUGGCCGGGCGCUAUGGCUCAAACACCUGUAAUCCCAACACUUUGGAAGGCCGAGGUGGGUGGGUCACGAGGUCAAGAGAUCGAGACCAUCCUGGUCAACAUGGUGAAACCCCAUCUCUACUAAAAAUACAAAAAAUUAGCUGGGCAUGGUGGCGCAUGCCUGUAAUCCCAGCUACUCAGGAAGCUGAGGCAGGAGAAUUGCCUGAACCCAGGAGGUGGAGGUUGCGGUGAGCCGAGAUCGUGCCAUAGCACUCCAGCCUGGGUAACAAGAGCGAAACUCCGUCUCAAAAAAAAAAAAAAAAAAGUAGUCCCCUUCACAGGAAUAAAUGGGAAUAAUGGGGCUUCAGGUGGGAAGGAGGAAGGGAGUGUUUGCUGUUGGAGAAGUUAAGGGAGUUCUUUCUGAGUUUCCCUAAGUCACACUAGAAGAAAAGGGUUAGAGGGAAGCCUUUCUGGAAUUCCCCAAGUCAGUGUGACUACCUCUUAGAUCCAGCAUUACAAUUGCAGCAAAUAUUAUAGUUUCAGACAAAGAAACUAUCUCCAGAGAGACAGAUUAUGUUGUUUACUUCAGGUGCAAUGGUGGGGGUUCUAUAUAAAUGAUAGGUCUGUAUCUGAAUCAUCUGUACGUUCUUGUGCUUUAGAAUGAAACUUAAUAGUGAUAAUAGCAAUCAAUUCUUACUGCAUGGUCCUUAGGUACUAAUCACUGCUGUGUUCACAGGCUAGAACUCUUACCUGGAGAAGGGUGGAAAUGUUUUGUCUAAAUCAAUAAUCUCAAAUUAAGUACUCUUAAUUUAAACAUAUAUCCCCAAUAUGUGUAUAUUGCCUUAUAAGUUAUAUACAUGCGCUAGGCUAAUAUAAAAUAUACAUUAUGAAAUGUAGACAGAAAUUUUGAAGGAAUGAAAUGAAUAAAGUAUUUUAUCUCAUGGAAAAAUACUUAGGUUUCUGUAUCUUGUUAUUAAGUGGAUACAAAUUAAUACUGUAUUUCAAAUAGACUUUUUAAUAGUUUUUGUGUGUUUUUUUUUUUUGGUCAGAUUGUCAGAUUUUGUUAGAUGACCACUUUAUUUAACAUCAUAAUUUGACUGAUGAAGAGAUCAUACUAAGUGAAAGUGUCAGUUCUGCCAUUUGAGAGUGGGGUGCAGAUCCUCUGUAUCAUCUUCAGUUCACAGGGGGUUUUUCCCAGCAAUUCUUUAAAACAAAUUAUUGACUUUUUAAGAUUUAAUUUUUUUAAAACUAGAUUUUAAAAAUCCAUAUAUCCCCUUUUGAACCACAAUAUGUCACUAAUGCUCAAAGAAACUCCAUCAUUUGUAUCUCAUCUGACGUGAACGUCAAAUAUAGGGACAGUGUGGGGAUGCCAACCUCAAUCCAUAUGGAUUAAUAGGGCUUAAUUUUCUCAUGAUAAACAUAAGUAGAAGUUAUGAAAAUUCUUACCACACUUUAGUGAAUUGUCUUGUAUACCUCUAGAGUGAGCACAUUCCACUUUUGAUAUUAGUAUCAGCAGCAAGACCUGUGACCAUAAAGUGGGAAUAAACAAUCCCAUUUUUAGCAUUGGUUGGCCCAGAUUCACUUAUGAGUGACAAGUGAAAAAGAUACAACAUGAUUUUCCAGGAAAUCAGAAGAGCUAAGUAUAUCUUGAACCUUUGAGAGUAUGGCCUGUCCAUAGAAAGGCAGAAUCUACAUUUGUCCAGUGCCUUCAGGAAAUACAUUGUACCAAGAUAGGCAUCUCCACAAAAGUAGGAAAAAGAGAAAAAAGAAAGACUCAAUUUAUUUUUAAGAAAAUCACACACAAAGUACAUUCUAGUUUUUAAGAAUUAAUCCUAAUUGUAGAAGAAUGUUACAAAAAAAAAGAAUUAAUCCCAGCUCUUCUACCUGAUUUUGGUAAAAGAAAAAAGAAGAAUAAUUAAUCCCAGUUCUUCUUUCUACUAGUCAUGCAAUUUUGGGAAAGUAACGACCUAUUGGAGCCUGCUUCUCAUCUCUGAAGUGAGAAUGAUUAAUAUUCUCAUGGUCAUAUUGACCCCUCACUAUGUGCAUAGAGAUGCUGAGCUAAAAUUCUUUUCAAGCGUUUAUUUAAUCCUCAAUACACUAGUGAAUAGAGGCUAAGUAGUUUACCAAAGCAUUUUUCUUUUCCUCCUGAGCACACAGGACUAUUGUUCCAGUCCUCCUUUGCUGUUAGGUGCAGCCAUGUUGCUGUGUUCUAGCCAUUGAAAUAUGGAAAAAAAUGAUCAAUACGACCUCCAGGUCUGACCCGUAAAACCUUCCUUGUCAUUCUUCAUGCUCUCAUUCUUCCUUCAUCUGCUAAAGGAUUCAGCAGAACCAUUACGUGCAUGGAGGUCUCCCUUCCUCCCACUACUUUAAACGUGCAUUGAACUGUGAUGUGAGCCAGAAAUAAACUCUUAUUAUGUUAAAUCAUUAA